AUCGCUUCUCAGUCUUUUGGCUAAGAUCAAGUGUAGUAUCUGUUCUUAUCAGUUUAAGUGAGUGCAUCAACAAAACAGGUUGACCCAGAUUAGCCUCUGGAUGAUGGAUUGUAGACAUCUGAGAGAAGUAAUAAAGAAGAAUAAUGAAAUUUGAGUCAUAUCAAAGAAAUAUUU
ensembl:snRNA U2 U2 spliceosomal RNA